UACGUAGGGACCAAGCGUUGUCCGGAAUCAUUGGGCGUAAAGGAGCGUGUAGGCGGCUUGUUAAGUCUUGCGUGAAAUCUCGGGGCUCAAACCCCGGAGCGGUCGUGAGAAACUGGCAGGCUAGAGUGCGGGAGAGGAGAGUGGGAAUUCCUGGUGUAGCGGUGAAAUGCGCAGAUAUCAGGAAGAACACCCGUGGCGAAGGCGGCUCUCUGGAACGCAACUGACGCUAGAGCGAAAAGCGUGGG
rnacentral:rRNA from 1 species